rnacentral:ribozyme from 13 species
UUGAAAGAAUUUUGUCCAUUUUUGUCGAUUUUUUCUCUCUUCUUCUCUUUUAUUUUGAUUGAGUGAGAAGAAAGAAAGAGGCUGUCGCAAGAGAAACACAGAAAGAAGGAGAAAAGAAUGGAGACACAGAAUUUUCUUCUUUCUCUUUCUCUUU